CACACAACGGGGUUUCGGGGCUGUGGACCCUGUGCCAGGAAAGGAAGGGCGCAGCUCCUGCAAUGCGGAGCAGCCAGGGCAGUGGGCACCAGGCUUUAGCCUCCCUUUCUCACCCUACAGAGGGCAGGCCCUUCAGCUCCAUUCUCCUCCAAGGCUGCAGAGGGGGCAGGAAUUGGGGGUGACAGGAGAGCUGUAAGGUCUCCAGUGGGUCAUUCUGGGCCCAGAGAUGGGUGCUGAAGCUCCCACGCCUGCCUGUGAAAAUGGAGUCCUCUCUCACCUGGGAGAGCCAGGUGCUGCCCCGAGAAGGAUGCAUUUAUGGCUUCGUGAAGUCUUUCCUGACCCCCGAUGCUGCUGACUAUAGAGACAAAGUCUCACUAUGUUGCUCAGGCUGGUCUUGAACUCCUGGCCUCAAGCGAUCCUCCCACCUCAGCCUCCCAAAGUGUUGGGAUUAUAGACAUGAGCCACUGCACCUGGCCGACCUUGGGCAAGUUCUUAAACCCUUCAAAGCCUCAUUUUUCUCCAAUCACAAAAGGGAAAGAUGGUAAUAUUUUCCCCACCAAAUUCUUGUCGGAUGCCCUCACAGAAUUGAGAUUAUGUACGUAAAACACCAGGUGCCUAACCCGGCACAGAGCAGGAGGGCUAAGCGUGACAUCCAGCACGUGGUCAGUGGAAUCCAGUAUUCCUACCCACCUCUCUAGUCUCCCCUCCACCCCUCUCCCUUUCAGAGGCACCAAGCUGCUUGUGGUCUUGUCUAUUCCCACUCCCUGCCUGACUGAACAUUUUCUCCACCUCCUGAUCAUCAGCAGCAGAAACUGGCUGCUCUUCCUCCUGGGUAGACAGCCAGACUGUAUUUCCCAGCUGCCCCUGCAGUGAGAUGUGGCCAUCGGAGCCAGCAUUGGCCAAUGGACUCUGCAUGGGAGUGACGCAUGCUGCCUCCAGGCUUGUCCCUAAAACCUCCCACGUGUCCUCCGCCUGCUCUUCCCACCUCCAAGGAGCACGGCAAUUGUGGAAGACCCAGAUUAGUGAUGGCAGAACCAUAGAUGGGAGGAACCUGGGUCCCUGACUUAAAGUAUCAUGGAUUUGGAUGUUCCCUUAGUGAGAAAUAAACUUCCAUUGUGUUUAAGCCUUUAUUUGUUUAUAGUUGGUUACAGCAACUGCCUUCUUUUAAUUAAAACACUCCUGCUGCU
rnacentral:lncRNA from 1 species